rnacentral:rRNA from 1 species
UCCUACGGGGGGCUGCAGUGGGGAAUAUUGCGCAAUGGGCGAAAGCCUGACGCAGCAACGCCGUGUGAGGGAUGAAGGCUUUCGGGUCGUAAACCUCUGUCAGAAGGGAAGAACGGGUGAUGGUCUAAUAGGCCGUCAUUUUGACGGUACCUUCAGAGGAAGCACCGGCUAACUCCGUGCCAGCAGCCGCGGUAAUACGGAGGGUGCAAGCGUUAUUCGGAAUUACUGGGCGUAAAGCGCACGUAGGCGGCCUUGUAAGUCAGGGGUGAAAUCCCACGGCUCAACCGUGGAACUGCCUUUGAAACUGCAGGGCUUGAAUCCUGGAGAGGGUGGCGGAAUUCCUGGUGUAGGAGUGAAAUCCGUAGAUAUCAGGAGGAACACCGGUGGCGAAGGCGGCCACCUGGACAGGUAUUGACGCUGAGGUGCGAAAGUGUGGGGAGCAAACAGGAUUAGAUACCCUAGUAGUC